rnacentral:rRNA from 1 species
CGUGCUUAACACAUGCAAGUCGAACGAGACGAUUUAGAAGCUUGCUUUUAUUGAGUCGAGUGGCAAACGGGUGAGUAACGCGUAGACAACCUGCCGCAAAGAUGGGGACAACAGUCCGAAAGGACUGCUAAUACCGAAUGUUGUAUCUCCUCCGCAUGGAAGAGAUAUUAAAGAUGGCCUCUACUUGUAAGCUAUCGCUUUGCGAUGGGUCUGCGUCUGAUUAGCUAGUUGGUGGGGCAACGGCCUACCAAGGCGACGAUCAGUAGCCGGUCUGAGAGGAUGAACGGCCACAUUGGGACUGAGACACGGCCCAAACUCCUACGGGAGGCAGCAGUAGGGAAUCUUCCACAAUGGGCGCAAGCCUGAUGGAGCAACACCGCGUGAGUGAAGAAGGGUUUCGGCUCGUAAAGCUCUGUUGUUGGAGAAGAACGUGCGUGAGAGUAACUGUUCACGCAGUGACGGUAUCCAACCAGAAAGUCACGGCUAACUACGUG